AACGAACGCUGGCGGCAUGCCUAACACAUGCAAGUCGAACGAGACCUUCGGGUCUAGUGGCGCACGGGUGCGUAACGCGUGGGAACCUGCCCUUAGGUUCGGAAUAACUCCCCGAAAGGGGUGCUAAUACCGGAUAAUGUCUUCGGACCAAAGAUUUAUCGCCUGUGGAUGGGCCCGCGUUGGAUUAGCUAGUUGGUAGGGUAAAAGCCUACCAAGGCGACGAUCCAUAGCUGGUCUGAGAGGAUGAUCAGCCACACUGGGACUGAGACACGGCCCAGACUCCGACGGGAGGCAGCAGUGGGGAAUAGUGGACAAUGGGCGAAAGCCUGAGCCAGCAAUGCCGCGUGAGUGAUGAAGGCCUUAGGGUUGCAAAGCUCUUUUACCCGGGAUGAUAAUGACAGUACCGGGAGAAUAAGCUCCGGCUAACUCCGUG
rnacentral:rRNA from 1 species